rnacentral:rRNA from 1 species
GACGAACGCUGGCGGCGUGCCUAAUACAUGCAAGUCGAACGCUGAAGGAGGAGCUUGCUUCUCUGGAUGAGUUGCGAACGGGUGAGUAACGCGUAGGUAACCUGCCUGGUAGCGGGGGAUAACUAUUGGAAACGAUAGCUAAUACCGCAUAAUAGUAGAUGUUGCAUGACAUUUGCUUAAAAGGUGCAAUUGCAUCACUACCAGAUGGACCUGCGUUGUAUUAGCUAGUUGGUGGGGUAACGGCUCACCAAGGCGACGAUACAUAGCCGACCUGAGAGGGGGAUCGGCCACACUGGGACUGAGACACGGCCCAGACUCCUACGGGAGGCAGCAGUAGGGAAUCUUCGGCAAUGGACGGAAGUCUGACCGAGCAACGCCGCGUGAGUGAAGAAGGGUGUCGGAUCGGAAAGCUCUGUUGUAAGAGAAGAACGAGUGUGAGAGAGGAAAGUUCACACUGUGACGGUAGCUGACCAGAAAGGGACGGCUAACUACGUG